AAAAUAUCACAGUUUAAAUCGGUGUGUUGUGUCUCGCAUAGCUUUUCUUUAUCCUGGUGAGCCAGCAGUCCUGCUUUACCCUCAGACUCUCUCUUCUCUUCUUCAUCAUCAUCAUCACAUUUUAUCUGAGGGUAUGAGAGGAGAAGCUCCAGUUUAUAUGAUGGUUUCUGGGCCUUUAGGAUGAAGAGUCUCUCUGUCACAUUAACAUCAACAUCACGAGCAGAUGCGAGCAGAGGUGUAAUGUGGUUCUAUGUGCUGGAUGGAGAAUGAAGAUUUCGUUUCAUCAGGACAGGCAGGACUUUGGACAUCUGGUUCUGGAUAUGGAAACGACAGAUCUUCCGCACAUGGGCUCUGCAUCUGUUUCACAUAUCCAGCAAAUCUCAGUUUUGGUGGUAAAUGGCGAAUCUGGUUCUGGAAAACACGGGCAUGGCUUGCAAUGAAGUCCUUACAUAAUCUGUGUAAGUAAAUCUUAUUAGUUAUUAUUAUAUUGUCAACACAGUCCACAGAAUGAAUCAUCACAUAUUUACUUCAACUAUUGGUUAGGAAAAUGUUUAGUUAAUGCAUUACAACAGGGGUGCCCAAACCUGUUCCUGGAGGGCUACUGUCAAGCAGAUUUUAGAUCCAACUCCAAUCAAACACAGCUGAAGCAGCUAAUCAAGGUGUUCAGGGUUUCUUGAUAAUUACAGACAGGUGUGUUGGAGCUGGGUUGGAACUGAAGUCUGCAGGACGGUAGCCCUCCAGGAGCAGGGUUGGGCACCCCUGCAUUACAAGGUAUACUUUACAAAAAGAUCAAUCAUCUUAAGGAUCUGUUC